rnacentral:rRNA from 1 species
GUCUGCAGCCAUACCACCCUGACUGUGCCCAAUCUCAUUUGAUCUUGGAAGCUAAGUAGGGUUAAGUCUGUUUAGUUCUUGAAUGGGAGAAGUAAAAUUGUAUUCC